ACGGUNGCAGGAUUAAAAUCAAAAGGAUNGACGGGGCCNGCACAAGCAGCGGGAGCAUNUGNUUUUAAUUGGAAGCAAACGGGAAGAACCUUACCUUAGACUUGACAUCUCCUUGAAUAGCGUAGAGAUACGUGAAGCCCUUCGGGGCAGAAGACAAGGUGGUGCAUGGUUGUCGUCAGCUCGUGUCGUGAGAUGUUGGGUUAAGUCCCGCAACGAGCGCACCCUUAUCAUUAGUUGCUACCAUUAAGUUGAGCACUCUAGUGAGAUGCCCGGGUUAACCGGGAGGAAGGCGGGGAUGACGUCAAAUCAUCAUGCCCCUUAUGUCUAGGGCUACACACGUGCUACAAUGGUGAGAACAACGAGAUGCAAACCGCGAGGUGGAGCCAAACUUGAAAACUCAUCCCAGUUCGGAUUGCAGGCUGAAAUUCGCCUGCAUGAAGUUGGAGUUGCUAGUAAUCGCGAAUCAGAAUGUG
rnacentral:rRNA from 1 species